GGGGGAACCCAAUAUCUUUUAUAGGAUAUUACUUUUCAGUGAAUACAUAGCUGAUUAGAGGUAGACGCAGAGAACUGAAACAUCUUAGUACCUGCAGGAAGAGAAAGAAAAUUCGAUUCCCUGAGUAGCGGCGAGCGAAACGGGAAGAGCCCAAACCAACAAGCUUGCUUGUUGGGGUUGUAGGACUCCAAUAUGGUAGUCUGUUAGUAUAGUUGAAGGAUUUGGAAAAUUCCGCUAAAGAGGGUGAAAGCCCCGUAGACGAAAUGCUGACAACACCUAGGAGGAUCCUGAGUACGGCGGAACACGAGAAAUUCCGUCGGAAUCCGCGGGGACCAUCCCGCAAGGCUAAAUACUCCCUAGUGACCGAUAGUGAACCAGUACCGUGAGGGAAAGGUGAAAAGCACCCCGGAAGGGGAGUGAAAUAGAUCCUGAAACCGUGUGCCUACAACAAGUCAAAGCUCGUUAAUGAGUGAUGGCGUGCCUUUUGUAGAAUGAACCGGCGAGUUACGAUUGCAUGCGAGGUUAAGUCGAAGAGACGGAGCC
rnacentral:rRNA from 1 species